CAGAUGGCCAACAGGUAUAUGCAGAGGUCUCAGCAUCACCCAUCACCAGAGAAAUGCAGUCACAACAGUGAGCUGUCACUGCAUGUCUGUAGAAUGGUUGUUAUCAGAAAGGCAAAAGAUAACAAGUGUGGGUGAGGAUAGGAGAAGAGGGAACCCUUGCACUGUUGGUGGGAAUGUAAAUUGUACAGCCAUUGUGGAAAACAGCAUGGAGGUUCCUUGAAAAAUUAAAUAUGGAACUACCAUAUGAUCCACUACUGGGUAUAUCUCCAGAGGAAAUAAAAUCAGUCUCUCAUAGUUGUGCUCCCAUGUUCAUGGAAGUGUUAAUCACAAUAGCUAAGAUAUGAAAACCUAAGGGAUAAAGGAAAUGUGCGAUGUGUGUGUGUGUGUGUGUGUGUGUGUGUGUGUGUGUGUGUUUAGAGAGAGAAUGAGAAUAGCAUAUUCUGCCUUAAAGGAACUCCUGCCAUUUGCAACAACAUGGAUGAAGCCAAACAUGUGUGGCUUCACUUACAUGUGGACUCUAAAAACAUUGAAUUCAUGGACGCAGAGAGUAGAUUGGUGCUUACCAGUGCCUGGCGGUAGUGGUGGAGAGAUGUUGGACACAGGAUACAGACUUCCAAUUAUAAGAUGAAUAAGUUCUAGAGACCUGAUGUACAGCUUGGUGGUUGUAGUUAAUAAUGCUGCAUUUAUUGUAUGCUUGAAAUUUGCUAAGAGAGUAAAUCUUAAUUUGCUAAGAGAAUAGAUUCUCACCACACACAAAAAAGGCAACUAAGUGAGGUGGUGGAGGUACAUGUUAAUUCACUUGAUUGUGAUAAUCAUAUUACAGUGUAUACAUAUAUUAAAAUAUCA
rnacentral:lncRNA from 10 species